rnacentral:misc_RNA from 1 species
UUGGCCACCAUCUUCAAUGCACGUUAAUGCCACCAGGUUCAUAUUUUGUUAAGCUGCCUACGAUCUAGCAAAAGUUAAAGAUAGUUUAAGUUUGACUUAUCAAUUACAUUUUGAUAUAUCCUAAAACAAUAUUUAGUUAUAAAUAAUAAAAACUUUAAUUUUUUUGUUGGCAUGUGUUGUUUUAAAAUCAAACUAUAGCUUUUCAGAUUCUAGAAACUUAAGUUUUGACAAAGGAAUUAAAAGAUAAUCACCCAACUACAACAAAGUAAAUUAUUAGUUCUUCUACACGAUGUCUACUGGACCAACAGUAGCUUCUAUCCCAAUAAAUCCUAUUAGGGUUAUGGUUGGAAAAGCUGUAACUAAAGUUGUCAACAGAUGCCAGUGUGCUAAAGAGGAGCAAAAUCUUGAUCUUUCGGAAUGUCAGCUUAUGUCUAUUCCAGACGCUGUUUACCAUUUAAUGAGAAAUACCGUCAUUCUCGCUUGUGAUCUCUCUUCCAAUGUGCUAAGAAAGAUUCCUCCUAAAUUUGCCAUCAAGUUCACGUAUAUUACAGAGCUCAAUUUGGCAAACAAUAGACUUAGCUCUCUUCCGGAGGAACUGCGUGAUCUCAGCGAUCUCAAGAGACUAGAUAUUUCCCAAAACGACUAUAUGCUAUUUCCCAAGGUGGUCUUCAAACUCCCAAAUCUCAUCUUUUUGAAUGCACAGAAAAACCACUUCACAAGUAUUGACGUCGAGAAACUAAAAGGUGUUCGCUCUUUACGAGAGGUAAACUUUGAAGAUAAUCCUCUAACAAAUGCAUCUCGUGAGCAGCUAAAAUCAAUGGAGUCUGUUACGGUGACUGUCCAUCUCAACUCUACUAUGGACGAGGAUUCAGAUGAUGAUAUUAUGGACUUAGAGAACAUUCCGCCCUCUGGUGGAUUUAAUAGGCAGUAAUUUCUAUCACGUUCGAAAGAGAGGACGAAAUCGAAGAGAUAAAUUGUAAAUUAUGUUUGUUUGUUUUUUAACAGAUAUUUUUAUAAUUGUGUAAUUUUGCAUGUUAUUAUAUAUUUAAUCUGUCAUUACAUGGCAGUUUCUUACUGAGUGGGGAGGCAAAUUUAGCCUCCUGGAUUUUAUCUAAGUAACCCUUGUAAAACUAGUCCACAUAUGCACCUGCACCCCAUACGUACACAAACAUAUAUAUAUAUAUUAUUUCUAAUCACUCAUUUUUAAAGAAAAAUGAGAAAGUAAAAAAAUUAUGAUCAAAUCAAGCAUUUUUAUAGAUAUAUUUUUUUCAACCAUAAACAAAUUAUUAAAAUUAAACGAUGUUAACUACGCAUUUAGUGACAUAACACGAAUAAUUAUGAUAAUACUUUUAUGUUGAUUGGUGUAAAAUAUUAGAGCCAUAAUGAUUUGAAUUAUGAACCACGUUUUGAUGCCAAGCUUAAUGAUAUAUAUUGAUAAUAAAGUAAUUCAAUUAAGUUUUGAAUGUAAAAAGGUCGUGACACGCGCACUUUGACCCACUCGUAACCAAAGGGAUAGUGAGUUGUGUGAUGUGGUACAGUAGUUAUAACUCUAACAAAUCAAUGUUUUGUAUUAUAGUUUUUUUUAUUGAGCCUACACAUCUUCUUUAGUACAUAAGUAAAAUGUUUAUGUACACUAUAAUUUGGAAAUAUCGUAUUUUUUAAGGUACAUAAGUAAAAUGUUUAUGUACACUAUAAUUUGGAAAUAUCGUAUUUUUUAAGGUACAUAAGUAAAACGUUUAUGUACACUAUAAUUUGAAAAUAUCGUAUUUUUUAAGGUACAUAAGUAAAACGUUUAUGUACACUAUAAUUUGAAAAUAUCGUAUUUUUUUAAGGUACAUAAGUAAAAUGUUUAUGUACACUAUAAUUUGGAAAUAUCGUAUUUUUCUAAGGUACAUAAGUAAAAGGUUUGUAUAUACUAUAAUUUGAAAAUACCGUAUUUUUUCUAUGCUUAUCUCGUUAUUUCCCCGAAAGGGGACCGAAGACCGCCUCUAGGGGUCACCUGUUUUAACCAUUCGCACCACAAUACAGUAGUGUGUUGUCUGUCAGUCAGUCAGUCAGUAGACACUGAAAUGGCUUCCCAUAUGGGACGCUUAAUGUUGUAACUUGUACUGUCGUAACUUCAGUAAAACGUGCACAUGACAAGAUUCACCGUAAAUUAUGCACUCUGUAGGCUACAACACAGCAUGACAUUUGAACUUGGAAAGCAAGAGAUGAAAAAAUAUGUGUUACUCUUAAUUUUGGUUUUAUUUACUCUUGAAACAAAACACUUUCUGGGACCCUGCAGAAGUACAUCUAGUAUUCACUGUGUUAUAAACUAACACAUUAAUUAAUUUUAAAAAGUGUUGUCUCAAUGAUUUAAUAGAAAAUAACCUUGUUUAGGUUAAAAAGUAUCAAAACUGUGUAUAGAUCCUUUGAAACUCAGUGGAAUAUUUUUAUUACACUUAAAUGUUCAAUUUCUUUUGCAACGUCAAUUGGCAAUAUUUAUAGCAUGUAUUGUGUUGACAAUCCAAACGUUUACCAAGAUGAAACAGGACAGAUCUGUAAGGCUACAUUAAGGAAAACAAAAAUGAUAUCAAAAAAGUAUGCGAAAAUUCUUUACGUCUUACUUACCAUAUUUGAACUGACAAUCACAUAUCAGAAUGGGAAAAUAAACAAACAACCCCAACGUAUUUUAGGUUUAUUGAGAAAAGUUUAAUAAACUUCUGCAUCGGAUAAUAACAUGAUUCAUAAUCUUACUGUACUAAUUGCCCAAGAAUAUCACCUUGUGAUAUAUUAUUGUACAGCUCCAAAGAAUCAUGUUAUUGUAAGUUCAACUGGUAGUACUGAAAGUCUGACUUUUGGAUUUUACUAUAUUUUUAAAAUCAAAAUUGAUGGACGGUUCAUGCUCAAAGUUGGAAACGAAAUAACCUAAUUAAAGUGUUAGUUUUGGUAUUAUGUAGGAAUUGUAAUUAACUUUCCAUUUCGUAGAAUUACUUAUUGUUGAACGAUUUGAUAAAUUUUGUAUAAGAGAAAUAUUUCUCUUUGUGAUUAUCGUAAAUAAAUGAAUAAAAAAGUUUCA